rnacentral:rRNA from 1 species
GUCUAUGACCGUGCCACCCUGAACGUGCCUGAUCUCGUCUGAUCUUGAAAGCUAAGCAGGGUCGGGCCUGGUUAGUACUUGGAUGGGAGACAACGUAGGAAUACCAGGUGCUGUAGGUG